AGUAGACACCCUGAUGUGCGUAUCUGUGCUUCACUGCUGUCAGCAAUCAGCUCAGUGUUUAGCUUGAGCUGAUUAAAACAAACAGUAUAGAUUUAAUAUUCAAAGACUUCCUAACCUUCUUGAUGAUUGUGGCUAGUAGCUAACUACCCAACAUUGGAAGACGGCUAUCAACCUGAAUUUAGAGACAUGGUGGGGUCGACUAUGAAAAGUAGCCCGAAUGGAGAAACUGACAAAACAACUUGGAGCACUGCAGAAUAUAAAAGGCAAGGAGGACUUUGGAACAGUUUGGCAUACGUUUAUUCAACAUGCUAGAAAAGAGAGGGUUGCUGUAUUGCCACUUGUCACCAUCAACAAAUGGUUCAUGUUGGAAUAACCUGUUAGGAAGACAUGCAAGAUACCCUUGAUCUGAACAGAGAUCAAAAUUAAUGGCUGAAGUAUUUACAAACUUACCUGUUACUUAGCUAACUGGGGGAAAAAUAACAUUAUUGGAUUGUCUGGAGGGAGGGGGUUUCCUGUUAGAUGUAUUUUUGAAAAUGCAAAAUUAAGUAUUUAAUUUUUAAAAAUGCAGUCUGCUGGUUCAUAUUUGUCACAAGGAUGUAUUGUGCAAAUGUAGCAAUUAAUAUGUUCUUUGAGUAUAUUUCCUGCAUAUAUUUUUAUCUUUCUGUAUAUUCCCUAAGAUACUUAGUUGGAAAGCUUAAAGCGUGUUAUAAGGUCCCAACUCUCUGAUGUUACAUUCAUUUUGAAAACCAACUUCAUACAAUAUAGUAGCUUUCAUGCAA